UUGGGGUGAGGUAGUAGGUUGUAUAGUUUGGGGCUCCGCCCUGCUGUGGCUAACUAUACAAUCUACUGUCUUUCCUGA
rfam:Cavia porcellus supercont2_160 genomic scaffold, whole genome shotgun sequence.